AGUGAACGCUGGCGGUAGGCCUAACACAUGCAAGUCGAACGGCAGCACAGUAAGAGCUUGCUCUUACGGGUGGCGAGUGGCGGACGGGUGAGGAAUACAUCGGAAUCUACUUUUUCGUGGGGGAUAACGUAGGGAAACUUACGCUAAUACCGCAUACGACCUACGGGUGAAAGCAGGGGAUCUUCGGACCUUGCGCGAUUGAAUGAGCCGAUGUCGGAUUAGCUAGUUGGCGGGGUAAAGGCCCACCAAGGCGACGAUCCGUAGCUGGUCUGAGAGGAUGAUCAGCCACACUGGAACUGAGACACGGUCCAGACUCCUACGGGAGGCAGCAGUGGGGAAUAUUGGACAAUGGGCGCAAGCCUGAUCCAGCCAUACCGCGUGGGUGAAGAAGGCCUUCGGGUUGUAAAGCCCUUUUGUUGGGAAAGAAAAGCAGCAGGCUAAUACCCCGCUGUUCUGACGGUACCCAAGGAAUAAGCACCGGCUAACUUCGUG
rnacentral:rRNA from 1 species